rnacentral:rRNA from 1 species
AAAUUGAAGAGUUUGAUCAUGGCUCAGAUUGAACGCUGGCGGCAGGCCUAACACAUGCAAGUCGAACGGUAGCACAGAGAGCUUGCUCUCGGGUGACGAGUGGCGGACGGGUGAGUAAUGUCUGGGAAACUGCCUGAUGGAGGGGGAUAACUACUGGAAACGGUGGCUAAUACCGCAUAACGUCGCAA